UACGUAGGUGGCAAGCGUUGUCCGGAAUUAUUGGGCGUAAAGAGCGCGCAGGCGGUUGAUUAAGUCGAAUGUGAAAGCCCCCGGCUCAACUGGGGAGGGUCAUUCGAUACUGAUCGACUUGAAGGCAGGAGAGGGUAGUGGAAUUCCCGGUGUAGUGGUGAAAUGCGUAGAUAUCGGGAGGAACACCAGUGGCGAAGGCGACUACCUGGCCUGUUCUUGACGCUGAGGCGCGAAAGCUGGGGGAGCAAACGGG
rnacentral:rRNA from 1 species